rnacentral:sRNA from 1 species
CACUGCCUCUCGUUAACGAUUGAAUAGUCUGAUGAAGUGUUAGGAUCGUGGAGAUGUGGACGGUUCGCUCUCGGGACGUCAUAAGAAUUCCACUAAAUCUUAUCAUUUAGAGGAAGAAAAGUCGUAACAAGGUUUCCAUAGGUGAACCUACGGAAA